AUAUAUCAAACAAUUCAUACAUUACAAACAAUACAGUCAUCCCAAAUUUGCACAAAAAAAAUGCCACAAAUAAAUAUAAACAUACAACACAUACAAGCAAAAAGUAGGCUAAACCCACUAGAGAGAUGGAAUCUCCCCAGCAGAGUCGCCACUUUUCUGUAGCGGGGUUUUUGUUACCUUUAGGUUUAUUGACUAAAACCAAAAGUAAACAUACAAUUCGAGUCGCCACCCCACUUUUAU
rnacentral:lncRNA from 1 species